rnacentral:rRNA from 1 species
CUACGAGUCGCAGCAGUGGGGAAUAUUGCACAAUGGAGGAAACUCUGAUGCAGCAACGCCGCGUGGAGGAUGACACUUUUCGGAGCGUAAACUCCUUUUAUAUAGGAAGAAGAUGACGGUACUAUAUGAAUAAGCGCCGGCUAACUCCGUGCCAGCAGCCGCGGUAAUACGGAGGGCGCAAGCGUUACUCGGAAUCACUGGGCGUAAAGAGCGUGUAGGCGGAUUAAAGAGUCAGAAGUGAAAUCCUAUAGCUUAACUAUAGAACUGCUUCUGAAACUCUUAAUCUAGAAUGUGGGAGAGGUAGAUGGAAUUUCUGGUGUAGGGGUAAAAUCCGUAGAGAUCAGAAGGAAUACCGAUUGCGAAGGCGAUCUACUAGAACAUUAUUGACGCUGAGACGCGAAAGCGUGGGGAGCAAACAGGAUUAGAUACCCCCGUAGUC